rnacentral:rRNA from 1 species
AACGAACGCUGGCGGCAUGCCUAACACAUGCAAGUCGAACGAGAACUUCGGGUCUCGUUGCCCGACGGUGCGUAACGGGGGGGAACCUGCCCUUAGGUUCGGAAUCACUCGCCGAAAGGGGUGCUUAAUCCGGCUAAUGUCUUCGGACAAAAGAGAGAACGCGCGAGGAGGGGCCCGCGUCUGAGUAGCUCGUUGGUGUGGUAAAAGCCUACAACGGCGACGCGCCGUAGAUGGUGUGAGAGGAUGAUCAGCCACACUGGGACUGAGACACGGCGCCGACACCUCCGGGAGGCAGCAGAGGGGAAAAUACCGCAAUGGGCGAAAGCCUGAGAGAGAAAUGUGGCGUGGAGGUAGAGGGGGCAUGGGUGGUGAAAUGCUUUUUCAGGCGAAGAAGUAAUGACGGUACCGGGAGAAUAAGCACCGGCUAACUCCGUG